UACGUAGGGACCGAGCGUUGUCCGGAUUCAUUGGGCGUAAAGAGCUCGUAGGCGGCUGUUCAAGUCGAACGUGAAAACUCGGGGCUCAACUCCAGCCUGCGUUCGAUACUGGAUGGCUAGAGUCUGGUAGGGGGAUCUGGAAUUCCUGGUGUAGCGGUGGAAUGCGCAGAUAUCAGGAGGAACACCGGUGGCGAAGGCAGCUCUCUGGGACGGUACUGACGCUGAGACGCGAAAGCGUGGGGAGCGAACAGG
rnacentral:rRNA from 1 species